rnacentral:rRNA from 1 species
UACGGAGGGUGCGAGCGUUGUCCGGAAUCACUGGGCGUAAAGGGCGCGUAGGCGGCUCCGGCAGUCUGUGGUGAAAGCCCAGGGCUCAACUCUGGGUCGGCCACGGAUACUCCGGGGGCUGGAGCACACUAGAGGCGGAUGGAAUUCCGGGGUGUAGCGGUGGAAUGCGUAGAGAUCCGGAAGAACACCGGUGGCGAAGGCGGUCCGCUGGGGUGUUGCUGGACGCUGAGGCGCGACAGCGUGGGGGAGCAAACAGGAUUAGAGUACCCUAAGUAA